rnacentral:rRNA from 1 species
AUUGAACGCUGGCGGCAGGCCUAACACAUGCAAGUCGAACGAGUGGCGGACGGGUGAGUAAUGUCUGGGAAACUGCCCGAUGGAGGGGGAUAACUACUGGAAACGGUAGCUAAUACCGCAUACCAUCGGAUGUGCCCAGAUGGGAUUAGCUAGGAGGUGGGGUAACGGCGCACCUAGGCGACGAUCCCUAGCUGGUCUGAGCGGAGGACAAGCCACACUGGGACUGAGACACGGUCCAGACUCCUAAGGUAGGAAGCAGUGGGGAACAGGGGGCAAUGGGCGAAAGCCUGAUGCAGCCAUGCCGCGUGUGUGAAGAAGGCCUUCGGGUUGUAAAGUACUUUAAGGGGGGAGGCGUUACCCGCAGAAGAAGCACCGGCUAACUCCGUGCCAGCAGCCGCGGUAAUUC